AAGUCGUAACAAGGUCUCCGUUGGUGAACCAGCGGAGGGAUCAUUACCGAGUUUACAACUCCCAAACCCCUGUGAACAUACCUAUACGUUGCCUCGGCGGAUCAGCCCGCGCCCUGUAAAACGGGACGGCCCGCCCGAGGACCCUAAACUCUGUUUUUAGUGGAACUUCUGAGUAAAACAAACAAAUAAAUCAAAACUUUCAACAACGGAUCUCUUGGUUCUG
rnacentral:misc_RNA from 1 species